GACGGUUCUCGAGUGAUGCAUCCCAGAAUCAGGCUCUCUCCUCUCUGGUUCAGGAGUGUGUCCCCUGAGAACCGCC
rfam:Myotis brandtii contig194976, whole genome shotgun sequence.